ACGGAGGGUGCAAGCGUUAUCCGGAUUCACUGGGUUUAAAGGGCGCGUAGGCGGCCUGGCAAGUGGAAGGUGAAAUCCCUCGGCUUAACCGAGGAACUGCCCUCCAAACUGCUUGGCUUGAGACCGGGAGAGGUGAGUGGAAUUCCCAGUGUAGCGGUGAAAUGCGUAGAUAUUGGGAGGAACACCAGUGGCGAAGGCGGCUCACUGGACCGGUACUGACGCUGAGGCGCGAAAGCGUGGGGAGCAAACGGGA
rnacentral:rRNA from 1 species